AUCCUAGGUGAGCUGGGCAAAGCCCAAGUACAGCCCUGUACUGUUGAGUUUAUGAGCUCUUCGUUGUUGUUGUUACUCUAGCAAAGAGAACAGAAGUAUUGCCAAUCAUCUGGGUAGAGACCUAGAUACUCUUGAUAUUUCAAGAUUAAAAGCACAGCUAUUAGAAAAUUCCACAAAUUCUGAGACAAGAGCCACAAGGAAGAUACAUUAGAUAUUUAUGUAAUAAUUUCAGAGAGAAGUGUCAUUCUCUCCUGUGAAGAUGACUGAGGUAACUACGAACCAGUCCCAGCAGGCAAAGAGCCCAGCCAGUAAUACAGAAUUUUCUUCCAAAAGGCCAGAAAAAUUUUGAUGGGCCUUUGCUUUUUCUGCAUUACAUAAAACAUUACCUAUUGCUUUUUCAUUCCUAUACUCACAA